rnacentral:rRNA from 1 species
UACAGAGGGGGCAAGCGUUGUCCGGAAUUAUUGGGCGUAAAGGGCGCGUAGGCGGCUUUGCAAGUGACGGGUGAAAUCCCACGGCUUAACCGUGGAACUGCCUGUCAGACUGCAUGGCUUGAGACCAGGAGAGGUGAGUGGAAUUCCCAGUGUAGCGGUGAAAUGCGUAGAUAUUGGGAGGAACACCAGUGGCGAAGGCGACUUACUGGACACAUAUUGACGCUGAGGUGCGAAAGCGUGGGGAGCAAACAGG